rnacentral:rRNA from 1 species
UGGGGAAUAUUGGACAAUGGGCGGAAGCCUGAUCCAGCCAUGCCGCGUGUGUGAAGAAGGCCUUUUGGUUGUAAAGCACUUUAAGCGAGGAGGAGGCUACUUGGAUUAAUACUCUAGGAUAGUGGACGUUACUCGCAGAAUAAGCACCGGCUAACUCUGUGCCAGCGGCCGCGGUAAUACAGAGGGUGCGAGCGUUAAUCGGAUUUACUGGGCGUAAAGCGUGCGUAGGCGGCUUCUUAAGUCGGAUGUGAAAUCCCUGAGCUUAACUUAGGAAUUGCAUUCGAUACUGGGAAGCUAGAGUAUGGGAGAGGAUGGUAGAAUUCCAGGUGUAGCGGUGAAAUGCGUAGAGAUCUGGAGGAAUACCGAUGGCGAAGGCAGCCAUCUGGCCUAAUACUGACGCUGAGGUACGAAAGCAUGGGGAGCAAACAGG